CUCGUAGGCGGUUUGUCGCGUCUGCUGUGAAAAUCCGAGGCUCAACCUCGGACCUGCAGUGGGUACGGGCAAACUAGAGUGCGGUAGGGGAGAUGGGAAUUCCUGGUGUAGCGGUGGAAUGCGCAGAUAUCAGGAGGAACACCGAUGGCGAAGGCACAUCUCUGGGCCGUAACUGACGCUGAGGAGCGAAAGCGUGGGGAGCGAACA
rnacentral:rRNA from 1 species